AUUGCUACUAUUUUCGAUGUUGUAGUUCCAAGCGACGACCUGGCAAGGCAAGGAUUGCGAUCUGACGACAAGAUCGAGUUGGUUCGCCGGAUAGUUCACAAGAGGACGGCGCCCAGGCAUGAUCCCCAAGGUAUGUCUUGCGCCAAUUACUUUAUCAGAUUUUUGGUUACCGGAUUUGUGGACAAGAGUUACUAGAAAGAAGAAGAGGAACGGACGGGCGGCUGCGCCGGCGCCGUCGGGGCGGCUGAGAUCCAGGCAGUCAGGCAAUUGCGUUUGAAUCAACUACUGGGCCAAGUUGGGCCUGAGGUUGAUAGAGCCAAUACAGAAUCAGGCAUGACUGGGCGAGUGGCCUAGCAUGCGAUCCCCGUAACGUUGCCUAGAUACGUGGUUCCUGCGCGACGAUCGACUUGAUUUAGCGAUCGGUCCGCUUCCGCUCCUGACUGCUAGGGUUCGCCGUUCUGGGACUCCUGGUUUCCUUUGCUCGGGGUAGGGCGCGCCGCUAGGAGAAGCUGCCCGACGGGAGACGCCAUGACGGGGCGUGGAAACCUGCCGCCAACAAAGCAAGGGGCUGCGCCCCCGGCACCGGCUCUUGCAAGAACGAACGCGACAAUGGCUCCGGGCCGGACCGCCGUGAGACAGCCGGUGGCGCAGCCUGGCCAGGCCGUCGGGCGGGGCGGCGACUUGGCUACCAGGCGGAGUGACGCCCAAGCCGCCGGGCGGGACGGCGCCCAGGUCGCAGGACGGGGUGGUGCCCCUGUUGCACCUGUGGCCGGGCGUGGCGGUGCUCCUGGCACCGGGCAGGGCAAUGGUCCCGGUUGUGGUGGCUAUGGAGGUGGCGGACGGAACUACGGUGGUGACGGAUUUCGUUACAACCGAUAUGGACAGUGGGGUGAUGAUGGAUACGAUGCGUACGGCGAGAGACAACACCGUAACUCUUCGUCGGGCGGUGGACAUGGCUCUGGAUGGUACAAUGAUGGCGGAUCGGGACGUGGCUUUCAAGGUCCUCCCACCAAUUUUGUCGAGGGGGUGGCCUGCCCAACAAACCGGUAUAACUGGGUAGCUCACCGAAGUUUCCAAGGUGGGAGAGGAGGGGGUCGGCGCCCGCCUCCACCGCGGCCUGCUCCACCGUCUGUUGAUGCGGCCGCGGUGACACAUGCCAAACCUGUUGCUACGGUGCAGACGGUCGCGCCUGCUCUUCCUGAGGUAGUUGUAGACACAGUCCGGGCCUUGGCGGCUGUCAGCAUUCCAGUGACCAGUACCGCAGUUACUAAGGCUAGUGACGAAGGUUCUGAGAAGGUUCUGGACAAAUGGGAUGGUGAAAAGUUAUCAAAGUGGGCUGCUAAGAAAAAGAAGCUACCGUGUUAUAGAUGUGGCGAGCCGGGACAUUUUGUGGCAGAGUGUACCAUAGAAUUAUGUGAUUAUUGUUGUACACCGCAACAUACAACCGACGAGUGUCUGCUGCUUACUGGCACCAAACCGGUGGUCAAUAUCUAUGGAGUUUGCUGUUAGGAGCUUAUGUUUUUUGAGUCACCUGAUGUGGCACUUGUGACGCAUGUGCAAGAGAGCUCCUUCCCCGCUGUUGUCAAGGUUACCAAUGGGAUUGUGACAGAGGCACAGAUUGUGCGACAGUUGCAGGACUUGGUACCAGGCAACCACAUGUGGGACCUUGUCAAGUUGGAGUCCCAGACUUAAAAGGUUGAUUUUCCCACUAAGGAGUAUCAGUUACAUGCUCUUAAGUAUGGAAUGUGUAGAGUACAGAGUAGAAAUAUUAUCUUGGCCUUUGAUGAGUGGAAGGAGAAGGACCCAGAGGGUACACCUUUAGAGAAGGUAUGAGUUCGCUUCUAUGGUGCAUCUCGCAAGUAUAUUAAUCACUUCUUGGUAGCUUGGAGUUUGGGUUCUAUCAUCAGUAAGACGAAACAAGUGGACAUGCCUUUUACUCGGGCACACGGAGCAGCGAGGUUAAUUGUCAGUGUUCUCAGUUUGGAGUUCGUCCCGGAUGUGGUCAAGUGGAUGCAUUCCGGGGUCACAUACGUGCUUGAGCUUGAGACUGAGGAUACACCAAUGCCUCGGGAGGGAGAUGAGAUUCAGGACAUGGAUACGACUGAGGGCGAUGGUGCACCCGGGAAUCAGGGCAAGGGGCCUGAGAGCACACCAUGGGAGCCGCCUAAGGGGCCGGCGUCGCAGGGUAUGGGAGAUACAUCCGCCAAGGAGGCGCCCUCUUCCACGACACCGAUGAACUCACUUCGGUUUGGGUCUUUUGGACUGCGGUCUGCACCUAGUCGGUUAUGGAGUAACCGAGUUGAGGCGGAUGAUCUAGAGGAACUCGAGUUACCGGCAGUGAUGCUUCCUGCUGUUGGUUCACAUACGUCUCUGAGGGUGGAUCCCGGGCCACAUGUUUCGUUGGGCAGCGCUAUACCGUUGGUGUGUGUGUGGGGGGGGGGCAGUGGGCAGGAGGCCCGCAGCCCCAGCCCACCUGUGGCGGUUCCUAGUCCUAUGGGAGAGGGGCGCGGGCUGGAGGCCCGCGGCGUUCUCUCACCACGGGGCAGUCCGGGGUGGCACAGCCAGGAGCGCGGGCAGGAGGCCCGCAAACUCUCUUCUCCGACGUCGUGUCCACAGUCUCCUUCUCCCAUUCCAACUUAUGACAAUUCGGAGGAGAGAUGAAAAGAACAAUGACAAUUUUGAUGGGCACUGGUCUAUGAUGUUUAACAUGAUUAUCGAGAGUCUUAAUUUGCGAGAAAUUGAGCUCACUAGUAGAUAAUUUACUUGGGCCAGUACGUUGCCCACUCCAACUUAUGAGAAGUUGGAUGGGGUACUCGCCAGUGUGGAAUGGGAACAAAAGUACCCUUUGGUGUCGGUCCAUGCUAUGCAGAGAGCGAUCUUAGACCAUACACCCCUUCUUGUAGAUUCGGGUGAGGCUACACAUGUCGCGAAUAAGAACGCUUUCUCUUUCGAACUAGGUUGGUUCGAGAAAGAUUUUUUUUGGAGAUCAUUGCACGCGAAUGGGCAAAACCUGUUGGUGGAAGAAAUAGUAUUGAGAGAUGGCAAAAUAAGAUCAGACAUCUGAGACAGUCUUUGAGAGGUUGGGCCAGAAAUGAGUGUGGGAUUUACAAAUAGAAAAAAAAAGACUCACUCAAUUAAUUGAGGCACUAGAUUUAAAAGCCGAAAGCAAUCUCCUUACGAUUAGUGAACAAAACUCCAAGUCUUAAGCUGAGCAAGGCUUACGAGCUCUUCUUAGAGAAGAGGAGCUCAAGUGGGCACUGCGUGCUAAAGUGCUUAAGGUUGUCCAAGGGGAUGACAAUACACAAUUCUUCCAUAUGAUUGCGAAUGGUAAACAUAGGAAGAAUAAAAUUAUACAGCUUGAACAGGACGAGGGACAAUUGUGGGGCAUGAGAAUCUGAAAGCUUAUAUCUCUAACUACUAUAAACAACUUUUUGGGCAUCCAGAAGCAAGCACGGUGGCCCUAGAUGAAUCUAUUUUAGGAGAUAUACCUCAACUCCAGGUAGAGGAGAAUGAUAUUCUAUCUGCACCAUUUACUGAGAAGGAGGUUCUGACUGCCAUCUCACAAAUGAAACCGAAUAAAGCACCGAGACCAGAUGGGUUUCCAGCUGAAUUCUAUAAGAAUGUUAGCAUAUAAUUAAGGAUGAUCUUUUGCCUAUGUUUCAAGAUUUCUUUAGUGGUCAUCUCGAGUUGUUUCAUCUUAAAUUUGGCCUGAUUACAUUGUUGCCCAAGAAAGAAGAAGCAGUUCAGAUCGAACAAUUUAGGCCAAUAUGUCUUCCUAAUGUGAGUUUCAAAAUUUUCACAAAGGUUGGUACCAAUAGACUGACACAAAUUUCUCAUUCAGUGGUACAACCGAGUCACACAGCGUUCAUGCCAGGGCGACACAUACUUGAAGGGGCCAUCGUUUUGCAUGAAACGCUUCAUGGAAUCCAUUCGAAGAAGCUAGAUGGGGUUACCUUCAAAGUGGAUUUUGAGAAGGCAUAUGAUAAAGUUAAAUGGCCUUUCCUUCAGCAGGCAAUGCACAUGGUGAGGCUUGGCGGGACCAAGUGGGUUCUCAAGUCCAGAAUGGUAGUGUCGGAAUCAAGGUUAACGAUGAUAUCGGUCAUUACUUUCAGAUGCAUAAGGGUUUGAGACAAGGAGAUUCCAUGUCUCCUCUCUUAUUUAAUAUAGUGGCCGAUAUGUUGGCCAUUCUUAUUGGCAGAGAAAUAAAACCAUGGUCAAUUGGAGGGCUUAGUUCCUCAUUUGGUCGAUGGUGGUGUCUCCAUCUUGCAAUAUGCUGACGACACUGUCUUAUUCAUAGAACAUGACAUUGCUAAAGCGUGCAAUAUGAAACACACGUGACUUCCCCAGGCGGCUUCCCCAAGCGGCCUCAGACGCGGACGUAACUCCAUCAUCACCCUCAUGGCUUGGGAGAUCUGGAAACACAGGAAUGUGGCCAUCUCUGAUGGUGCCUGUCCUUCCACUGACGAGCUUAUGCAGCUGAUCAAAGAUGAGGCGCGCCGCUGGGCUAAGGCCGGCGAUAGAGGUCUAGAUAGGAUCAUCCCUGUAACUUGAUCUUUGUACCGAGGUUGAGCACCCUCCUCCGUUGCUCGCUAUGCACUCUCUCAGACGCCUAGUUGUGUACGCCCGAGUGACCUGCACUCUGUAUUCUUCUUCCACCUAUCAAUGAAAUGAUACGCUGCUCAGCAUAUUCACGAAAAAUAAAGAGCUCAAUAUGAAACUUAUAUUAUGCCUCUUCGAACAAUUGUCUGGUUUAAAGAUAAACUUUCGCAAGAGUGAGUUGUUUUGUUUUGGGAAGUCCAAAGACAAGCAAGAUACUUAUAGACAACUUUUCGGGUGUGAAUUAGGGUCUUUACCAUUUAGUUAUUUGGGCAUACCAAUUCACCACCGUAAGUUGUCUAAUAAAGAAUGGAAGUGUAUCGAAGAUCGAAUUGAGAAAAAGCUAAGCUGCUGGAAGGGCAAGCUUAUGUCUUAUGGGGGUCGGCUAGUGCUGAUUAAUUUGGUACUAACCAGUAUGCCGAUGCUCCUACUAUCUUUCUUCAAAAUUCCGAAAGGGGUACGAAAGCGACUUGAUUUCUUCAGGUCUCGUUUCUUCUGGCAGUCAGAUGAGGACAAAAGGAAAUACCGACUGGCACGAUGGGACAUCCUUUGCAGGCCAAAAGACAAAGGGGGUUUUGGUAUUGAGAACUUAGAAAUCAAAAUAAAUGCCUUAUGAGCAAAUGGCUCCACAGGUUGGAGACUGAGCCGGAGGGCAUGUGGGCACAUAUUUUGCGCAAUAAAUAUUUGCAGUCGAAAACGCUAGCCCAGGUUACCAUGAGACCAACUAACUCGCCAUUCUAGAAAGGGCUUAUGAGAACGAAGGAUUUGUUCUUUCGUAGGGUCAAAUUCUUGGUUGGCAAUGCGAUGUCAACAAGAUUUUGGGAGGAUACGUGGUUAGGAGAGUCACCCCUGGCAGUACAAUAUCCCACCCUUUAUAAAAUUGUGCAACGUAAGGAGGAUUACGUAGGUACAGUGUUCCAAAUGAUCCCCUUGAAUAUUCAGUUCAGACGUGCGUUAGUUGGUGAGCGAUGGACUGCCUGGUUGCACUUGGUUCAGAGAUUGAUAGAUGUUCAACUUUCUGACCAGCUGGAUUCGACACAAUGGACGCUAGCUAAGAAUGGGGUUUUUACGGUGAAAUCUUUUUAUAUGGAUUUCAUUAAUUCUGGCCCAAUCUCAAGAUUGUUACAUAUUUGGAAGAUUAAGGUGCCCUUGCGUAUCAAAAUUUUUAUGUGGUUUGUCCACAAGCAAGUAAUACUUACCAAGGACAACUUAAUAAAGAGGCGAUGGGUAGGUAGUUCACGUUGUUGUUUUUGUGAUCAUGAUGAAAUAAUACAACACCUAUUCCUUGAAUGCCCACUCGUCAAAUUGCUUUGGAGAACCAUUCAUAGAGCCUUCAAUAUUAAUCCUCCAGUUGGCAUUGAAUCGUUCUUGGAAUGUGGUUAGCUGGGGUUGAACAUUCCACUGCAGCUCGUAUUCGGAUUGGAAUCUGUGCGCUUCUGUGGGCUAUAUAGAAUUGUAGGAAUGAUUUGAUUUUUAACACACAACACAACUUAACUUUCUUGCAGGUUAUCUUCAGAGCUACCGCAUGGAUCCGUACGUGGUCCUUACUCAGUCCUAUGGACUCCAGGGAGCCUUUGGUUACUGGGUGCACCCAGUGGGAGAUGGUAGCACAGGCUAUAUUCAACCGGUUCGGAUGGCGGUCGCAUAAUAGGACAGGAGUCUAGGGAGCUUAUCCUUUAUUUUUCCUUACCGGUUGGGAUUUUGAGCAUGUACUUCUUUUUCUUUGUUUUGCUCCGCUUGCGAGCUGUAAUACCUUUAUGACUUUGUGAUACUUUGAGACAUGGCUGCAUGCAUCAUUAUGAUGUAGAGGCCAGGGGUACGCCUCCAUUUCCAAGAAAAAAUCAACAGAAAGAUGCAAAUCCGAAAAAGAAGUACCCUCAUAGGGCUCACUUGUUC
rnacentral:lncRNA from 1 species